CUCUGCUAUCGGGCUGAAUUAUUAAUUUGAUGGUUACAUGUAUCAAGGAGCCUGCUCUAACUUCAGAAAUCUCGGCAAGACCCCACCCCUCUAUUUGGUCCCUUGCUAACAUCAUAUGGUAUCAAUGUCCUUCCAAGCUAUGGGAUAUCAUCCUGGACACUUUGCUCAUGAGGUUCCAGCUCAUAAUGAUAGAAGCACACGGAAGGGCUGGCAGUGUGGUCCUGGGGAUGGCGUUGUCAUGGGUCCUUUCAUACCUGUUGCGUUGCAGGAGCCCACGGCACCUUCUGGGGAGUCAUUGCUCAUCUGCCCCCGAGAGUCUGUGCGGUUUCGAAGUGCCAGCAGAGCGGGGCCUUUGCUCCCACCUUUAAAUGUGAUCGGGAGGCAGCCUGCUGGAAAAGAUUAAGGUCAUGGCAUUAAUGCCAAGUAUGGCUAAACACAGCAUCCUGUCUGAGUAAGAUCUCUCUGGGAGUCUCCUAU
rnacentral:lncRNA from 1 species